rnacentral:rRNA from 1 species
GGGGAAUUUUGGACAAUGGGGGCAACCCUGAUCCAGCCAUGCCGCGUGCGGGAAGAAGGCCUUCGGGUUGUAAACCGCUUUUGUCGGGGAAGAAACGGUCUGCGCUAAUACCGCGGGCUAAUGACGGUACCCGAAGAAUAAGCACCGGCUAACUACGUGCCAGCAGCCGCGGUAAUACGUAGGGUGCAAGCGUUAAUCGGAAUUACUGGGCGUAAAGCGUGCGCAGGCGGCUUUGCAAGACAGAUGUGAAAUCCCCGGGCUCAACCUGGGAACUGCAUUUGUGACUGCAUGGCUGGAGUGCGGCAGAGGGGGAUGGAAUUCCGCGUGUAGCAGUGAAAUGCGUAGAUAUGCGGAGGAACACCGAUGGCGAAGGCAAUCCCCUGGGCCUGCACUGACGCUCAUGCACGAAAGCGUGGGGAGCAAAC